rnacentral:rRNA from 1 species
GAUGAACGCUGGCGGCGUGCCUAAUACAUGCAAGUCGAGCGAACAGACGAGGAGCUUGCUCCUCUGACGUUAGCGGCGGACGGGUGAGUAACACGUGGAUAACCUACCUAUAAGACUGGGAUAACUUCGGGAAACCGGAGCUAAUCCCGGAUAAUAUAUUGAACCGCAGGGUUCAAUAGUAAAAGAGGGUUUUGCGUCCACUUUUAGAUGGAUCCGCCCCGAAUUAGCUAGUUGGUAAGGUAACGGCUUACCAGGGCAACGAUGCGUAGCCGACCUGAGAGGGUGAUCGGCCACACUGGAACUGAGACACGGUCCAGACUCCUACGGGAGGCAGCAGUAGGGAAUCUUCCGCAAUGGGCGAAAGCCUGACGGAGCAACGCCGCGUGAGUGAUGAAGGUCUUCGGAUCGUAAAACUCUGUUAUUAGGGAAGAACAAAUGUGUAAGUAACUAUGCACGUCUUGACGGUACCUAAUCAGAAAGCCACGGCUAACUACGUG